GAAAUCUGCAAGUGAUAUGAAUCAGGAAAUCUUUGGAAAGAGUUGGUUGUUAAACUUUACCAGCACACAAAUACCUCUGGAGCUGAGCAAAACAAGUCUACCCCCUCAUCUUCACAACGGUCUUUCAAACAUAUUUAAGGUUCCUUUCCCACUCUCUCCGAAGUCCGUGCCAUACAAGGGAUGGGCUUCUUCGUGGACCUUUUUGAAAUAACAAGAACUUCAAGAUGCAACAGUUACAGAUAGAAAAACAGAGGGGAAAUAAAGAAACAAUACUUGGCAAACCAUGACAGAGAUCUUGCCUAGCCGUCCACUGAUAAGUUCUUCAAUCAAUCUCUUUGAAAGCAAAUAAUUGGAUACCCCUUGACUGAGAAGAGGAUUUUUAAAGAUCCAGUCACUAAACUUCUUCAUUUUCUCAACACUAACACCGAUAUUUAAAUCAUCCAUUUGUUUGACAUCCCAGAGACUGUUAAAAAAGAAGCAAGGAAACAUGGUAAAAUAGAGAUGGAUGAGAAGCAAGACUUUACCAACUUUUUUGAGCUUCAGUUUCUGUGUAAAAUUGGGAUAACAGUGUACCUAUCUCUUAUGUUUAUUGUGAGAUAUUAUAAAUGAGUUAUGUAUCUAUCAUAGCAAUACUAAGAACCACCCAAGACGUAGCUAUUAAAUGAUGCACUCGGGCCUGAUUUAGGCAGUUAACCUUACCUUACCUUACUAAAGGUGAGUAGGGCACACAAUGGCCAAAUAUAAAACAGGCAGCACAAUCAAGAUUUUCUUAUACAUCACAUUUUGAGGUAGAAUUUUAUCUAGUGGUAACAUCUAAUCUCUUUGGGGAGGAGAUUGGCUAAGGUUAGGUUGGGUGUCAGGACUCUAGAAGCAUGGGCUUAGGUAAACAGAAAACUCUAAUUUCCAGCAGGAAGGCAGUGAAGGAGAAUCUGUUCCAGACUUCCCUCCUAUAUUCCCAGGUAACUCUUGGGUUGUAGAUGAGACCUCCCUGUGUAGAAGUUCUCUCCUCUUCAUAUUCCUUCUGUAUGUAUCUCUCUGUAUGUCCAAAUUUCUCCUUUUAAUAAACACAUUAGAUACAGGCGUACCUUAAUGACCACACCUUAACUUGAACACCCUUGUCAUCUAUGGAGCCCCUAUUUCUAAAUAAGGUCAUAGUUACAGGUCCUUGGGGUUAAGAGGUCAACAUUUUUGCAGAGUACACAAUUCAACCCAUAACAGUGAUAUAUCAUUAAGUAAGAGAUAGGCAGAUAUUAGGGACAUAAAAAUACCCAUGGCUUUUCCUAGAGAGUAGCCGUAAGUGACUUUCCUUCAAAAGUCUUAAUCUUAGUUUUCUUAUCUCUGCAGUGGGAGUAAAGCUUCACAGUUUUGUCUGAAGUAUUAUAAUAAAGGAGGACAUAUAGGUAAUAGUGAUUUGUAAACUGUGUUACAAAGAUACUGUAUAUAAUUAUAGUUGUUAUUAAUGCAUUUAUUUUAUGCCCUAUGUUUCCUAGAUUUUUCCAGAAAUUGAAUAAAUAAAGUUGAAAGAUCUGAAGUAGCUGAAAGGCAAGUAGAGGCAGGGGCCAUUAUCCGUAUGAUCAGUUUUUGAAUUAGCAAUGAGUGAUUUCACUGUAAACAUUAACAUGGUUUAAUAACUGGCUAUCAUAAGCAUAAUUUAAAAUAUGUUGCAUGUUUCACAGUUUCCUAUAUGGAAUGAUUUCUUUAUUAGCCUAUAGAAUAUUGAGAGGCAAAACAACUUUAAAAAUAUUUGCUAUUGUUUGUAAGAAAAGCACUGUGCUGAACGCCCAUGAGGGGAGAAAUAUACCAAAUUAAAGAGUAUGUAUAUAUAUUUUAUUCCUCUGUCAAAACAAUGCUGGUAUAAGACUGUGCACGGUCAAAUUGGGUUCUAACUGCUAUGAGUUAAACUUCCAUCUUUGGCUAAACGAAUUUCCUCAGCCUUUUAUUCUGCAUUCUUGGUAAAAGUUUUGGGGGCUGACAGAUUGCUGUUAUGACCACUUCAGACAUUGAAAAAUGACUUAGGAGAAACAGCCACAGCUUGGGAGAGACAAAUAGCUUCCCAGAAGAGAGCGAUUCAUGCAGGGGUCAUUACCACAUAUUCAACUACCUGAACCUCAAAUAUGCGUAGACAGUUCAGUAUUUGCCAGAAUCAGUACAGAAGUUACCUUCUAAUCCCUUCUAUCAGGCACAAACAGAAACCCAGAGAGAAAGAGCACAGCCCUUUA
rnacentral:lncRNA from 10 species